UACGGAGGGUGCAGCGUGUCGAUUAUUGGUUUAAAGGGUGCGUAGGCGGCUUUUAAGUCAGUGGUGAAAUACCAGGCAGACCUCAACUGUUGAAGGUGCCAUUGAUACUGAGAGGCUUAGUACAGAUGAGGUAGCGGAAUUUAUGGUGUAGCGGUGAAAUGCAUAGAUACCAUAAAGAACACCGAUUGCGAAGGCAGCUUACUAAGCUGUAACUG
rnacentral:rRNA from 1 species